AGUAAAGUAAGCCAAUUAAGCUCUUGGGCCCAUACCCCGAAAAUGUUAGUUAAACCCUAACCUUUACAA
rnacentral:tRNA from 1 species